UGAUACCUACGGGGGGCAGCAGUAGGGAAUCUUCCACAAUGGGCGAAAGCCUGAUGGAGCAACGCCGCGUGGGUGAAGAAGGUCUUCGGAUCGUAAAGUUCUGUUGAAGGGGAAAAAGAGCGGAGAGAGGAAAUGAACUCCGAUUGAUAUUACCCUUCGAGGAAGUCACGGCUAACUACGUGCCAGCAGCCGCGGUAAUACGUAGGUGGCGAGCGUUAUCCGGAAUGAUUGGGCGUAAAGGGUGCGUAGGCGGCCUGCUAAGUCUGGAGUGAAAGGUACCGGCUCAACCGGUACAGGCUCUGGAA
rnacentral:rRNA from 1 species